rnacentral:rRNA from 1 species
AACGAACGCUGGCGGCAUGCCUAACACAUGCAAGUCGAACGAGACCUUCGGGUCUAGUGGCGCACGGGUGCGUAACGCGUGGGAACCUGCCCUUAGGUUCGGAAUAACUCCCCGAAAGGGGUGCUAAUACCGGAUAAUGUCUUCGGACCAAAGAUUUAUCGCCUUUGGAUGGGCCCGCGUUGGAUUAGCUAGUUGGUAGGGUAAAAGCCUACCAAGGCGACGAUCUAUAGCUGGUCUGAGAGGAUGAUCAGCCACACUGGGACUGAGACACGGCCCAGACUCCUACGGGAGGCAGCAGUGGGGAAUAUUGGACAAUGGGCGAAAGCCUGAUCCAGCAAUGCCGCGUGAGUGAUGAAGGCCUUAGGGUUGUAAAGCUCUUUUACCCGGGAUGAUAAUGACAGUACCGGGAGAAUAAGCGCCGGCUAACUCCGUG